rnacentral:rRNA from 1 species
GACGAACGCUGGCGGCGUGCUUAACACAUGCAAGUCGAACGCUGAAGCUCAGCUUUUGUUGGGUGGAUGGGUGGCGAACGGGUGAGUAACACGUGAGUAACCUGCCCCCUUCUUUGGGAUAACGCCCGGAAACGGGUGCUAAUACUGGAUAUUCACUGGUCUUCGCAUGGGGGUUGGUGGAAAGGGUUUUUCUGGUGGGGGAUGGGCUCGCGGCCUAUCAGCUUGUUGGUGGGGUGAUGGCCUACCAAGGCUUUGACGGGUAGCCGGCCUGAGAGGGUGACCGGUCACAUUGGGACUGAGAUACGGCCCAGACUCCUACGGGAGGCAGCAGUGGGGAAUAUUGCACAAUGGGCGCAAGCCUGAUGCAGCGACGCCGCGUGAGGGAUGGAGGCCUUCGGGUUGUGAACCUCUUUCGCUCAUGGUCAAGCCGCAACAAUGGUUGUGGUGAGGGUAGUGGGUAAAGAAGCGCCGGCUAACUACGUG